rnacentral:rRNA from 1 species
AUUGAACGCUGGCGGCAGGCUUAACACAUGCAAGUCGAGCGAGCGGCGGACGGGUGAGUAAUGUCUGGGAAACUGCCUGAUGGAGGGGGAUAACUACUGGAAACGGUAGCUAAUACCGCAUACCAUCAGAUGUGCCCAGAUGGGAUUAGCUAGUAGGUGGGGUAAUGGCUCACCUAGGCGACGAUCGCUAGCGGGGAUGAGAGGAUGACCAGCCACACUGGAACUACGAAGCUGUCCAGACUCCUACGGAAGACAGCAGGGGGAAAUAUGGCACAAUGGGCGCAAGCCGGAUGCAGCCAUGCCGCGUGUGUGAAGAAGGCCUUCGGGUUGUAAAGCACUUUCAGCGAGGAGGCGUUACUCGCAGAGUAAGCACCGGCUAACUCCGUGCCAGCAGCCGCGGUAAUUC